rnacentral:rRNA from 1 species
UACAGAGGGGGCAAGCGUUGUUCGGAAUUACUGGGCGUAAAGGGCGCGUAGGCGGCCGCCUAAGUCAGACGUGAAAUCCCUCGGCUCAACCGGGGAACUGCGUCUGAUACUGGGUGGCUUGAAUCCGGGAGAGGGAUGCGGAAUUCCAGGUGUAGCGGUGAAAUGCGUAGAGAUCAGGAAGAACACCGGUGGCGAAAGCGCUCUGCUGGACCUUAACUGACACUGAGGGACGAAAGCUAGGGGAGCGAAUGGG